UACGUAGGGAGCAAGCGUUGUCCGGAAUCAUUGGGCGUAAAGAGCGCGUAGGCGGCCGUGUAAGUCCGCUCUGAAAGUCGGAGGCUCAACCUCCGAAAGCGGGUGGAUACUGCACGGCUAGAGUCCGGAAGAGGCGAGUGGAAUUCCUGGUGUAGCGGUGGAAUGCGCAGAUAUCAGGAGGAACACCAACGGCGAAGGCAGCUCGCUGGGACGGUACUGACGCUGAGACGCGAAAGCGUGGGGAGCGAACAGG
rnacentral:rRNA from 1 species